rnacentral:rRNA from 1 species
GUCCAGACUCCUACGGGAGGCAGCAGUGGGGAAUAUUGCACAAUGGGGGGAACCCUGAUGCAGCGACGCCGCGUGGGUGAAGGAGUACUUCGGUACGUAAAGCCCUAUCAGCAGGAAAGAAAAUGACGGUACCUGACUAAGAAGCCCCGGCUAACUACGUGCCAGCAGCCGCGGUAAUACGUAGGGGGCAAGCGUUAUCCGGAUUUACUGGGUGUAAAGGGAGCGUAGGCGGCAGUGCAAGUCAGAAGUGAAAGCCCGGGGCUCAACUCCGGGACUGCUUUUGAAACUGUACAGCUUGAUUGCAGGAGAGGCAAGUGGAAUUCCUAGUGUAGCGGUGAAAUGCGUAGAUAUUAGGAGGAACACCAGUGGCGAAGGCGGCUUACUGGACUGUAACUGACGUUGAGGCUCGAAAGCGUGGGGAGCAAACAGGAUUAGAUACCCGAGUA